rnacentral:ncRNA from 1 species
CAUUGGCACACGGGUGCCGCGCGCGGGCGCGGCUGAGACGCCACCGAAGAAAAGGCGAACCGGGGGAACCUGAUCCGGCUAGUACCGGCGCGAGGGACGUGUAGAAGGAGGCGG